UGAAAUUAUUUGAAAUAUACUCAUUUUCUUAUCGAAAUUGACAAGAGAAAGGAACUAAAAGAAAUUUACCAGAUAUAUGAAAAAAAAAAAAA